AAGAAAACGUCACUUCUUACUCUCUUUCUCUCUCUCUCACGUUCUUUUCUAUCUAAUUUUUUUCUCUCUGCAAGUGAUUCCUUCUUUCCUUCUUCUUCCUUCUCUCUCUUCUGCUUUCUUCAUCCUCUGCCGCAGCUUCUACAGACAUUCACGUCUUCUACUUUCCAUUCCUCCUCCUUCCUAAUUUUUAGGUUUAGUGAUGUUAGCUUACGUGGAAGGGCUAAGAUUCGCCGGCGGUGGGGUUUCUGAUGGCUCCAGUGCGCCGCCUUCGUGACCCAAAAAGGAAGUCGGACACGGAUCCUAACCUUUUGACAAUGCAACUUGAAACUCGGAAAAUUGAACCGGGUAGGAAUUUCUUUGGUGAAAAACUAUUGUGUAGCUGUGGUGAGACCGAAUCGAUACCGAGUGUGAAGGUGCGUAUGUAGAGUUAUAUAAAGUUGUUAGCUUAGCUUGGUACAAGUUGUAUGGUUGGAACUGUUUGGGCAGGUUUGGGACUGCUUUGUUUUAUUCUGCUGGAUGAAUGAGAAAGUGCUUCUGAACUUAGCAAAUAUUGUUGGAGACGGAGGAGUCUUGAGCCCCGUCA